rnacentral:lncRNA from 1 species
CCCUUCUGCUUGUGUCUAAUCUCCAUUGCGGACGUUAAAACCAUGCAAUGACGGAAGAAAAAGGCAAGCAUCUGCGGCUUCGAAGCAAGAUACUCAACCACAGCUGAAACUUUCUUUGUCUACCCCCUCCCCCCUGCCUCGAAGGAGGCCCACGUGAAGAAGAUGCAGAUUUCCAGAGCCAUAAAUUAAGGGGCGAUUAGUCACGUUGCAAUCUUUCUUCAAAGGAUUCUUUAAAGGCUUCUUCAUUGAAGUGUUUACAGCACAGUAACUUGCAGGCUGAGAGGCUGGGGUGGGGGUGGAGGGUGGGGUGCCAUCAGGGGGAACAGCCAGAGAACAGAGAAGACACUGGGAGAAACGUUGGGAAGGCCCUCCCACGGGAGCCACCCUGCGGAGGACCUGACAGACAAGAUUUCAUGGAUUCAGCAGUGGGUCGCCCAGCACCCGCUUGGUGGUGCAUGUGUCCCCGCUGCUGGGGAAGUGAAUAGAAGAAGAAAAAAAACCCAGCAGUGCCAUCUCUUCUCCCCCUCUUUUUCCUGGAACUCUGAAGUUUGGCUUUUGUUGGAUUAAUGACCCCUAAGUUCCCACCUCGGUUUCUGGGAUCAAGUCCCUUAGCCACUCAGCACCUUGGCCCACUGGGCAGCCGACUGACAGUGAGGGUUGAGCUCACGUGGCAGCUGUGGGGGGCUCAAUGGAGUCUCUUCUGAAGGUGGAGACAGGUCUGCUGGAGCCCAGACUCACCCCCUCUGGAGCCAUUACACAACCUGCUGUCACUUCCAGCUUCGAGU